UACGGGGGGGGGCAAGCGUUGUUCGGAAUUACUGGGCGUAAAGGGCUCGUAGGCGGCCAACUAAGUCAUACGUGAAAUCCCCCGGCUUAACCGGGGAACUGCGUCUGAUACUGGCAGGCUUGAAUCCGGGAGGAGGAUGCGAAUUCCAGGUGUAGCGGUGAAAUGCGUAGAUAUCUGGAGGAACACCGGUGGCGAAGGCGGCAUCCUGGACCGGCAUUGACGCUGAGGCGCGAAAGCCAGGGGAGCAAAGCGGG
rnacentral:rRNA from 1 species